rnacentral:rRNA from 1 species
UACGUAGGGUGCGAGCGUUGUUCGGAUUUACUGGGCGUAAAGCGCACGUAGGCGGAUCGUUAAGUCGGGGGUGAAAUCCUGGAGCUCAACUCCAGAACUGCCUUCGAUACUGGCGAUCUUGAGUCCGGAAGAGGUGAGUGGAACUCCUAGUGUAGAGGUGAAAUUCGUAGAUAUUCGGCGGAACACCAGUGGCGAAGGCGACUCACUGGCCCGAUACUGACGCUGAGGCGCGAAAGCGUGGGGAGCAAACAGG